UAUUUUCUUGGAACUGGACUUCUCAACUGGACAACCUGAUGCCAUCAUGGAGGCUGAAAAUCCUCACACCUUUCAUUCUGUCUAGGGCUGACUGGAACCAGGGCUGGCUGAUCAGCUGUCAGGCUGCUCUUUAGCGAAGCUUGGAAAGUUCCAGCAAAAGCCCUGCCUUUGAACCGGAAUCACUCUGCCACCAUCUGCACAUGGAUCCUUUGUAGUGGAGACAGUGAUC
rnacentral:lncRNA from 10 species